GACGAACGCUGGCGGCGUGCUUAACACAUGCAAGUCGAGCGGUAAGGUCCUUUCGGGGGUACACGAGCGGCGAACGGGUGAGUAACACGUGGGUGACCUGCCCUCAGCUCUGGGAUAAGCCUGGGAAACCGGGUCUAAUACCGGAUAUGACUCCAUGACGCAUGUUGUGGGGUGGAAAGCCUUGUGCGGCUGAGGAUGGGCCCGCGGCCUAUCAGCUUGUUGGUGGGGUGAUGGCCUACCAAGGCGACGACGGGUAGCCGGCCUGAGAGGGCGACCGGCCACACUGGGACUGAGACACGGCCCAGACUCCUACGGGAGGGCAGCAGUGGGGAAUCUUGCGCAAUGGGCGAAAGCCUGACGCAGCGACGCCGCGUGAGGGAUGA
rnacentral:rRNA from 1 species